rnacentral:rRNA from 1 species
CAGUAAGGUCACGGGUAGACGACCCGUUGAUAGGUUGUAAAUGGAAGUGCAGUAAUGCAUGAAGUUGAGCAAUACUAACAGACCGAGGGCUUGACCUC